rnacentral:rRNA from 1 species
AUGAACGCUGGCGGCGUGCCUAAUACAUGCAAGUCGAGCGAACGGACGAGAAGCUUGCUUUUCUGAUGUUAGCGGCGGACGGGUGAGUAACACGUGGAUAACCUACCUAUAAGACUGGGAUAACUUCGGGAAACCGGAGCUAAUACCGGAUAAUAUUUUGAACCGCAUGGUUCAAAGGUGAAAGACGGUCUUGCUGUCACUUAUAGAUGGAUCCGCGCUGCAUUAGCUAGUUGGUAAGGUAACGGCUUACCAAGGCAACGAUGCAUAGCCGACCUGAGAGGGUGAUCGGCCACACUGGAACUGAGACACGGUCCAGACUCCUACGGGAGGCAGCAGUAGGGAAUCUUCCGCAAUGGGCGAAAGCCUGACGGAGCAACGCCGCGUGAGUGAUGAAGGUCUUCGGAUCGUAAAACUCUGUUAUUAGGGAAGAACAUAUGUGUAAGUAACUGUGCACAUCUUGACGGUACCUAAUCAGAAAGCCACGGCUAACUACGUG